UUUAUAAUACAACUAUCAAUCAUCUCCAGUCCUUUUUCAUCGAGUGACAGGCACUGCAAGUUGGAUGUAGGCUACGAAGAGAAACGGAUAACCUAGCAAAAGCAAGUUAGAGCAGUUAUAAAGAUUGUUUAUAAAGAUUUGAGAACCAUCCAUACAUGAUAUUUGAUAAAGUAAUGUACGUGAAAUUCUCACAUUUGAAUUUUAAGACCAUGUUCAUAUCACUCAUGUUGAACAAAAAAAAUGAAGUAUAGAAACUAAUGGUGGUAAUUCAAUUCUUAUAAAAGUAGUGCAAUUAUAUUUAAUUUGCAGGCAUCAGAUUCUGCAGUAAGGACAAAGUAGUAAGACAAUAGUACCUUUUCAUCCUCGGUAGGUGUCUGGAACAUGUCACACUGCAGUGAGCAGUAGUAAAAAUACUUGAACUUGGGCAAACCUUGUACUUUCGAUGAUCUCACACAGGGACACGGGAAC
rnacentral:lncRNA from 1 species